CCUCGAACUCCAGGCAAUUCUCCUGACUCAGUUGGGAUUACAGCUGUGCGUCACCACGCAGGGCCAGAGUUUCGUUUUUCUCUCUUUCCCACUUGGAGAAACCAUUGCUGCUGGGAGGUCAGGGAAUGAAGGUUGCCUCCCUAGCAGCAUUCUAUCCUCACUCCUUUCUCAGCUAACACUCUCUGGGUCUGAACAGAAAAAUAAUUUGAGUGUAGCUAAUUAAAAAGGGGUGGGGAUCGUAGUGUAUCCCUGUAAUCCCAGAGCUCAGGAGGCUGAGGCAGGAUGAUCUCAAUGACUUCAAGGCCAGCCCGAGCUACCUAAUGAGUUGGAGGCCAGCCUGAACUACAUAGCUUGCAAGACCCUGUCUCAAAAAACAAGCAGAAAAAAGUAUGCAGGUUUGAGAUAAGAGAUUACGGCGUGCAAUGCUGGCUGGGGUAGUAGGCAUGACCUGUUAAUUACAAGAUCCCAGACACAUGCACAGAAGAGUUCCCAGAGCCCUGCAUGUGGACUUCUCGUGAGAAUUUGAGCAGAUUUUCAGUAGGCAGUCUAGAUCUGAUGUCACCCUGAGGAGACCUGGGAGCCCAGCAUUGCCUCUUAGGAUCCAUAUGUAGUUCUCGAGGUUUUCCUUGAAAUUUGGACAAUAUAAAGGAUAUGCAGCACUGCGCCUGCCUGGCAAGCAUAAGGUCCUGAGUUCAAGUCCUAGUACCCACACAGAUGCUGUGAAGAGUACUCUAUGUUCCCAGACACAGCAUGUUCUUUUAGUUUUGCUUUUACCUUCUUUUUCUCUUCACUCAGCCCAAACUCACUCCGCAGAGUUUCUCCCCAACUCUUCACUUCUUUUUUAACUCUUCGCUUUUACUUUCUGCAGUAAAUUUGGCCAUUGCUUUUUGCUCAUUUUGUUCAAGUCUUUGUUUGAGACAAGAAGAACCUGGAAUCUAACUCCAGACGGAGAGGCAAGCAACCCAGAACCCAGUAACAUUUAGUUGGCGAGCCACUUUUAGAAGCAAGCUACCGGAUAACAGGUUUGCUGACUCCCGUCACGGAAAAAGAACUUUCAGGACUUAUCUCAAGAUGCCCCCCUUCCCACCCCCAUGGUCAGUUCUGUGCACACAUCUCUCACAGCAGAGAACAGGGAAGGGCCAGCAGGGGUAGGGGCUGCUUUUGUUCACCAAGCCCCAUUUCAUCCAGAAUGCCAAUGCAUAUGGAGCUCCAGAGUUCUGGAACUAGGCGAACAUACAAGUGGAGGCUUCAGCUAGCCUCAGAUGGAAGAUGGAGGCAGGAAGGACAUCAGAGCCCAGGAGGGCAACUGGAGCCACAGGCUGCCUCUCUCCCAGCAGCUCUACGAAGUUCUGGCUGAAAAGUUAUCCCAGACAACUACAUGUGAUGUGGAAG
ensembl:lncRNA